rnacentral:rRNA from 1 species
GACGAACGCUGGCGGCGUGCUUAACACAUGCAAGUCGAACGGAAAGGCCUUUUCGGGGGUACUCGAGUGGCGAACGGGUGAGUAACACGUGGGUGAUCUGCCCUGCACUCUGGGAUAAGCCUGGGAAACUGGGUCUAAUACCGGAUAGGACCGCACUUUAGUGUGUGUGGUGGCAAGUUUUUUCGGUGUAGGGUGAGCCCGCGGCCUAUCAGCUUGUUGGUGGGGUAAUGGCCUACCAAGGCGGCGACGGGUAGCCGGACUGAGAGGUUGGUCGGCCACAUUGGGACUGAGGUGAGGCCCAGACACCUACGGGAGGCAGCAGGGGGGAAUAUUGCACGAUGGGCGCAAGCCUGAUGCAGCGACGCCGCGUGGGGGAUGACGGCCUUCGGGUUGUAAACUCCUUUCGCCAGGGACGAAGCGUUUUGUGACGGUACCUGGAGAAGAAGCACCGGCUAACUACGUG